rnacentral:rRNA from 1 species
AAUAUUGCACAAUGGGCGCAAGCCUGAUGCAGCCAUGCCGCGUGUGUGAAGAAGGCCUUCGGGUUGUAAAGCACUUUCAGUCGUGAGGAAGGUAGUGUAGUUAAUAGCUGCAUUAUUUGACGUUAGCGACAGAAGAAGCACCGGCUAACUCCGUGCCAGCAGCCGCGGUAAUACGGAGGGUGCGAGCGUUAAUCGGAAUUACUGGGC